rnacentral:lncRNA from 1 species
CAUUGAACGUGACCAACUCCAGAGUAUUCUGCUAUCGAGAAUGUCUCUGAUGGGAUAUAGGUAUAAGUGUCCCUUAGACUUGAGAUCGCCUCAGUGACUUGCAAGCAACUCAUUGUGCUUUGGUACUGGACUAACUGAAUUUCUAAUUCAGGGAUGGAAGGCUUCUGGGCACAGUCAAGUACUUACGAAGUCAGAGUGUGAUCGAGAUGGGAUUGACCACUCCAAGAGUUGGAGAAGAAUGAGUCGCUGUAUUUCAAUUUAGCAAAACCUUGGCCAGGAUAAUCCAUC